AGCAAAUCCAUGCUUAGCUUGUUUCUGCCAGUUUAUUGAGUGAACAUGUUUAUUUAUAUUAUGUUCCUGCUGUCAUCAGCUGAAGAUUCCAGAGCCAUAGAAGCCAUCACACCACACAGCGACAGAAAAUCUGCACAGGAGGGUGACAGUGUUACACUCUCUUGUAACUACAGCGGUUCUGUCCGUGGUCUUCAUUGGUAUCGCCAAUAUGCAGGUUCACCUCCAGAGUUCCUCAUACUGGAAGAUUCAGGGGCAACUAUUCCAGCUAGUCCACCAGUUCCUGGAAUAAACAUCAAUAACAGGAAAGAAGCCAAUAGUGUGGCUCUAGAGAUCUCCUCUGCUGCUGUCACAGACUCUGCUCUGUACUACUGCGCUUUGAGGCCCACAGUGACAGGAAACCCAAUAACACUAUACAAAAAUACUAACUGA